rnacentral:rRNA from 1 species
AGAGUUUGAUCCUGGCUCAGGAUGAACGCUAGCUACAGGCUUAACACAUGCAAGUCGCGGGGCAGCAUGGGGGUUGCUUGCAAUCCCCGAUGGCGACCGGCGCACGGGUGAGUAACGCGUAUCCAACCUGCCCUUCACCACGGGAUAACCCGGCGAAAGUCGGACUAAUACCGUAUGUUGUCCAUUGACGGCAUCCGAUUUGGACGAAAGGCUUUGCGGUGAAGGAUGGGGAUGCGUCCGAUUAGCCAGACGGCGGGGUAACGGCCCACCGUGGCUACGAUCGGUAGGGGUUCUGAGAGGAAGGUCCCCCACACUGGAACUGAGACACGGUCCAGACUCCUACGGGAGGCAGCAGUGAGGAAUAUUGGUCAAUGGGCGUAAGCCUGAACCAGCCAAGUAGCGUGCAGGAUGACGGCCCUAUGGGUUGUAAACUGCUUUUAUGCGGGGAUAAAGUGGCCCACGUGUGGGCUUUUGCAGGUACCGCAUGAAUAAGGACCGGCUAAUUCCGUGCCAGCAGCCGCGGUAAUACGGAAGGUCCGGGCGUUAUCCGGAUUUAUUGGGUUUAAAGGGAGCGUAGGCCGCGCCUUAAGCGUGUUGUGAAAUCCGGGUGCUCAACAUCCGGCUUGCAGCGCGAACUGGGGCGCUUGAGUGCGCUGAAAGUAGGCGGAAUUCGUGGUGUAGCGGUGAAAUGCUUAGAUAUCACGAGGAACUCCGAUUGCGAAGGCAGCCUACUGUAGCGCUACUGACGCUGAUGCUCGAAAGCGUGGGUAUCGAACAGGAUUAGAUACCCUGGUAGUCCACGCGGUAAACGAUGGAUGCUCGUUGUCGGCCCUUCGGGUCGGUGACCAAGCGAAAGCGUUAAGCAUCCCACCUGGGGAGUACGCCGGCAACGGUGAAACUCAAAGGAAUUGACGGGGGCCCG